rnacentral:lncRNA from 10 species
GCAGGCCACACGUGGGUCUCCCACUCACAGGACCCCCACUGACAUGGCCUUCUCUGGAACAUUCCCUUCCAGGCCUCAGUGCUUGAGAAACUACGGCUUCCCUAUUUCCUACCCUAGAGCUCCUCCCACAGGAGUGUCUUCAGGAAGAGAAGUGGCAGGAUGCCGGUCCUAAGGAAGACGCUGCUCACAGGGUCUCACUGUAUGACUACGGCACAGUUUGUUUAUUCAUCCUGCUGCUGCUGGACAUCUGGGCUGUUUCCCAUUUUUGGCAACUAUGAAUAAAGCUGCAAGAGACAUUCUCGUAUAUGUCUUUGGGUGGACAUAUGUGUUUGGUUUUAAGAAAGGAAAUACAAGAUCUUGAGGCAGAGUGGUGUAUGUUCUAUUCUAGGUUUUUAUACAAAUGUCAGAGUCUUAUUUAAAAGUGAAUGUUCUUUUACGGACCUUGCAAAACGCCAAAGCAAAA